GACGAACGCUGGCGGCGUGCUUAACACAUGCAAGUCGAACGGAAAGGCCCUGCUUUUGUGGGGUGCUCGAGUGGCGAACGGGUGAGUAACACGUGAGUAACCUGCCCUUGACUUUGGGAUAACUUCAGGAAACUCGGGCUAAUACCGGAUAGGAUCUCCUGCUGCAUGGUGGUGGAUGGAAAGUUUCGGCGGUUGGGGAUGGACUCGCGGCUUAUCAGCUUGUUGGUGGGGUAGUGGCUUACCAAGGCUUUGACGGGUAGCCGGCCUGAGAGGGUGACCGGCCACAUUGGGACUGAGAUACGGCCCAGACUCCUACGGGAGGCAGCAGUGGGGAAUAUUGCACAAUGGGCGGAAGCCUGAUGCAGCAACGCCGCGUGCGGGAUGACGGCCUUCGGGUUGUAAACAGCUUUCGCCUGUGACGAAGAGUGAGUGACGGUAAUGGGUAAAGAAGCACCGGCUAACUACGUG
rnacentral:rRNA from 1 species